ACUUGCUAGUAGUUGCUAGUACUGAUAAUGAUGAUUUACCAGGUCGACAAGUACCUGGUAAAUCAUCAUUAUCAGUACUAGCAACGUACGUA
rnacentral:pre_miRNA from 1 species